rnacentral:rRNA from 1 species
UACGGAGAGGACGAGUGUUAUUCGUAUUAACUGGGUGUAAAGCGUGCGUAGGCGGCCUUUAAAGUGGUAAUUAAAACAGUUUACGCCUUUACGGUGAAAUAUCUUUACCAUACUUUUAGGCUUGAGUUGUGGGGGGAGUAACAGAAUUCCGGGUGUAGGGGUAAAAUCUUUAAAAAUCCGGCGGACUAUCAUGGGCGCAGGCAGUUGCUCAUCCACAUACUGACGCUGAGGCACAAAAGCGUAGGUUUCAAACAGG